UGGGACUUGCUCCUGNNUUACGGCGGANGGGUGAGUACACGUGGGUACCUGCCUGUAAGACUGGGAUAACUCCGGGAAACCGGGGCUAAUACCGGAUGGUUGUUUGAACCGCAUGGUUCAAACAUAAAAGGUGGCUUCGGCUACCACUUACAGAUGGACCCGCGGCGCAUUAGCUAGUUGGUGAGGUAANGGCUCACCAAGGCAACGAUGCGUAGCCGACCUGAGAGGGUGAUCGGCCACACUGGGACUGAGACACGGCCCAGACUCCUACGGGAGGCAGCAGUAGGGAAUCUUCCGCAAUGGACGAAAGUCUGACGGAGCAACGCCGCGUGAGUGAUGAAGGUUUUCGGAUCGUAAAGCUCUGUUGUUAGGGAAGAACAAGUACCGUUCGAAUAGGGCGGUACCUUGACGGUACCUAACCAGAAAGCCA
rnacentral:rRNA from 1 species